AUACUCUGGUUUCUCUUCAGAUCAAAUACACUUUUCACCUUUUUUCUAAAGAUUUCCAUGGAGAGGAACAACCAUGAGUUUUCAAUAAUUUUUUGAGGCUCUGCCCCAUGCAGGGCU